UCCCAGGACCAUGGAAUCAUGACCUGGGCCACUCCACAAUUAUUGGAGUUUUUUGCUAUUGAGUGUUAGGAGUUUCCUAUAUAUUUUGGAGAUGAACCCGUUACCAGGAUUAUGAUUUGCAAAUCUUUUCUCCCAUUCCAUAGGUUGCCUUUUUAUUUUGUUGAUGGGUUUCCUCGGUGGUGCAGAAGCUUUUUAGAUGCAUAUCGCCCCACUCGCUUCAGUGCUUGCUUUUGUGGUGUUUGGUGUGUAAAUGAACUCUUAGGACUGCUUUUGCCCUGAAGGCCUCUGCCAAACUCUGCAGGGAGCUGCUGUGAAACUGAGCCGCAUUUCUGCUCACUGGCCUCGAAGCUGGAGAAGGACAGCAGUGUGAAGUCCGAGGGACACCCCCGCAACCCCCGCACCACACAUGCUCAGGGACACCAAGGUUGUCAUGCUUUGAAUUUGUGGUGGAUGACGUGCCAAUCCGUGGCUCUGUGGGCCAUGAGAGCUGCUUCCUGCUACAUAGCCACAAGCUUUGCUGAGAAGACAGGAAGAAAUGGUGGAGAAAAAGGGAGAGGUGGAGAAGAGACAAAGAAUGAAGAACAUGAAGAACAUGGGAGUGUCCCCACACAGGGAAUGGCCUCGAUUUGGUCCCUGUUAGGAAUCUAAUAAGGAUCUAAAAUGUCACGAAGCCUGACUAGAGAGGCAGAUGCGACACAAAAGUGGCCAAAGAGGGGACUCAAAGUGGAGGCUGAGCAGCUCAGCUGAUAGUGGUGUGGCUGGGUGAUGAGCCAGCUCCCUGUGGCUUUGCACUCCGGGGGAGCACAACUCCAACCAGCUGCAAGGCCACACCAGGGCCCUUGUCUCGGAUGAGGCCUCCUGAAGGAGCCCUCCCUGCUGUGUCUCUAGCUAUGUCCCUCCUGCCCCUCUGCCUGUCUCACCAGACUGCUGCCCCUCUGACCUGGUCUUGCAGGUGGGCCUGACCGCCAGGUUCUUGGUGAUCAGGAGGGUCCUCUCCUGGCAGGCUGAUGCUGAAUGAGAGUUGGGUCUGCCCAGAAGCUGUGACCACAUACGCUACAUGUAUGGGGUCUCUGCUGUACAACUUUUCUAACUUGGAACAAGACACUCACCUGGCCUGGAGUUUUGGUCACUUCCAUCAUAUCACUGUCGUGGCUGCUUCUUCCCUCUCCAGCUUGAGAACUCUUCUCUUGGGCAGGGAAGCUGCUUGGCCUCCCGUCUGGAGGUUCCCUAACGCUGGUCUAAGGUUCUGGAACAUUCUGAGGUAUAUCCCAGCUCUGGUACCUGUGAAGCGUCACCCGUGGAUCUUCUUUCAGCAAGUUCCUGAUCUGAACAAGGUUGAACGCCCUGUCCUUACACCUUCACCAUCUGGAAUCCCUAUGUUGAAAAUUCAAAUGUUACCUGUUUGCUCUGCAAAGAAAAGCCAUGGAAAUAAAAUGCACACUCACUGCUGGGGAUAGAUUGAAUAAACUAUGACAUACAAUACAGCAGGGAAAGGUGAAGUAUAGAAAAGUAAUUAAUGAUCAUACCUUUUCUAAAAAAAAAAAAAAAAAAAAGCCAAGGUUAUGAGGGUCGUCUGGGUGUUGCAGUUGGUUAGGGAGCUGACCCUUGAUUUUGGCUCAGGGUAUGAUCUCAGUGUCCUGGGAUUGAGCCUGACUGGGGCUCCAGGCUCUCUGGGGAGUCUGCUGGAGAUUUUUCUCCCUCUCUGUCUGCCCUUCCCCCUGCACAUAUGCUCUCUUUCUCGCUUUCUCUAAAAUAAACAAGUCUUUAACAAAAAAAGCACAUUAUGAAAUAUUAUGUGUACGGUAAGAUUAUGAAGUAUGUUCUAUUUGUUAUUAAAUUCAAUUUGUAGUUUUUCAAAUGUUCCAUCAUGAGCAUAUGGUACUUUUAUAAGGAGAACACCCCCAAGUUAUUUUACAAACCUGGAUAGAAGAUGAAAAAAACAGGAGCUUUAAAAUAUUUUUAAAAAAUACCCUAAUAUUCAAGCGGUGGGGAUGGAGGCAGGGCAAGAAGGAAAUUCUGAGAAGUUUGGAUAGACCUUGGGCUCUCCCGGCCACGCAGCUAUAUGUGCAGGAGGCGGGCAGCUGAGGAAGCUGCCCCAAAGGGCCAAGGCUAGUGACCCCUAAGAAGGGGUGUCCUGGCGUCGAAGCUUGAGGUAACUGUAGAAAGGGUUACCUGCAGGGGGAGCAGAGCUGGAUUUGAGGGUGUGGCCCUGUGUUGGUCAAAGGACUCCUGAUACAUCAUCAUAAUAAAAAAAAUAACUUGCACAUGUAGGCACUUUAUGGUUUACAAAGCACUUUCUCCUCCUUGAAGCUUAUAGAGGAGGAAACAGAGGCACAGCACAGCCAGUAUGCAGCAGAACCAGGACCUGAAUCCAGCUGUUUCCAGCUCUCGCUGUACUGAGCUACGCUGCCCAGCUGCCCUUUAAGAGCUCAGGCACUGAGAGAGUAUAAAAGUAAGGAGGAUAUUACACUUUACAAUUGGAACCUAAACACUGACCCAUUAGGACAGAUGCUGGUCUCAUCUGGAGAUCCAGAAGCCUCCUGUAGGGCCAGGCGAUGGCAAUUGGAUGCUGGACUCUAGGAAGCACCUGAGAGUCAGAAGGGAGUCGCUGGGGUGGCCCAGGAGGCUGGCAGGGCACUCUGGGACACGGAACAGCAGCUGCUCACCAACCAGUCCAGAAGUAUUUCACUACUUUAACCACUCAUCCACCCAUCCAUUCUGGUGGCACCAGGUAAACGUCAUGCCAGCCUAUGGCCUCCCCGAUUGUGUCCCACAGAUCCCGGUGGUGACAGAUAACUCUAGAAGUUGUCCUAUGUGUCAGUUAUUUCAGCAGGGGAGCUCUGCAGUCAAACCACAUUUCCACAGAAAGGGAUGUGGUGGUCACCUAAUGUAAGUGACCAUGGACGUGUCUGAAUCUGUGAAGUCCAUUAUUGGCCGCUUGGGCUCCUGCCAAGAUCAGGGGCACUGUGGAUCUAAAGCAGCAGCCCCCUAGCGGUGUCGUUUGGCUUUGCAAUGAGCACUUACAGUCUGAGUACAAAAAAUUGUACUGACUUCUGAGAAUUUAUAGCAGACGAACAAUGAGGUUAACAACCUCUUCUCUGAAGUAAGAGACAGGAGCGUGCCCAGGCCACCCCCCGCCCCCCGCCGCCGCCUGCUUCUCCCUUGGGCUGGGAUGGAUGCUUUGUUGGGUCUGUUCUCUUGAUUCCCAACUGAGAAGGCUCCCCUCCAUAUACCCAAGGUGGCUGGAUCUCCCGGGUUCCCUUCAAAUGCUCAGUACAGGCUACACGAAGGAAAGAAGAAAGGUGCUAUUAUUGUCAACAAAGGUCUUCAUGAGCCACACCAUGGAGUGUGCUUUAGCUAAAAAGCUAGCACACCAGAAUUCAAAACAGCCUAGUACACUCAGCUGUGGCUGGGACACCAGUGGAUGAUGGAAAUUCCCUGCUGUGCUCCAACUGGAGUUCAGUACCUCUUUGAAAUUAAGGUCUCCUGCUAGUCAGAUGAUCACACUCCACUCCCAGCACAGGUCUGUAGGCUGUCAUAUCAGCCCUGCUUUCAACACAGGACCGACCACCCAAGAAAAAGAUCGAAGACCCUGGUCUCCUCCCCAGAGGACGCUGCCUCUUACCACUGGUGUGGAAAGGGGUGGAGUUCUCAAGAUCCAUGUGUGAACUGGGGCCCACUGUGGCUAAAGCUGGUGAUGUGUGGGGAUUCUUGUGCUGGGGGUGGGGCUGCUAUCUUCCUCCAGAGAACUUCCUGUCAUGGAGAUGGUUAAGAAAAUAGAGGGCAGCCCCGAUGGCCCAGCGGUUUGGCGCCACCUUCAGCCGGGGUAUGAUCCUGGAGACCCAGGAUUGAGUCCCACAUCGGGCUCCCUGCAAGGGCGCCUGCUCCCUCUGCCUGUGUCUCUGCCUCUCUCUCUGUGUGUCUGUCAAAAUAGGGAGCUCUAAAGGAAAUAAAGGUAAUUACUUGCUUUUUUUUUUUUUUUUCUAAGAAAAUGUCUUGUUAGACCUUUUCUUCCAUUGUAUUUCUUUUAAAAUGAUUCUUUUUUGGUCACAAAGCAUUAUUUGUUCAUUGCAAAAAAUAAUUAAAUGU